rnacentral:rRNA from 1 species
GAUGAACGCUGGCGGCGUGCUUAACACAUGCAAGUCGAACGGUGAAGGCGGAGCUUGCUCUGCUGGAUCAGUGGCGAACGGGUGAGUAACACGUGAGCAAUCUGCCCCUGACUCAGGGAUAAGCGCUGGAAACGGCGUCUAAUACUGGAUACGAGCUGCGAAGGCAUCUUCAGCAGCUGGAAAGAACUUCGGUCAGGGAUGAGCUCGCGGCCUAUCAGCUUGUUGGUGAGGUAACGGCUCACCAAGGCGUCGACGGGUAGCCGGCCUGAGAGGGUGACCGGCCACACUGGGACUGAGACACGGCCCAGACUCCUACGGGAGGCAGCAGUGGGGAAUAUUGCACAAUGGGCGAAAGCCUGAUGCAGCAACGCCGCGUGAGGGACGACGGCCUUCGGGUUGUAAACCUCUUUUAGCAGGGAAGAAGCGAAAGUGACGGUACCUGCAGAGAAAGCGCCGGCUAACUACGUG